CCUACGGGGGGCAGCAGUGAGGAAUAUUGGUCAAUGGACGAGAGUCUGAACCAGCCAAGUAGCGUGAAGGAUGACUGCCCUAUGGGUUGUAAACUUCUUUUAUAUGGGAAUAAAAUGUUCCACGUGUGGGAUUUUGUAUGUACCAUAUGAAUAAGGAUCGGCUAACUCCGUGCCAGCAGCCGCGGUAAUACGGAGGAUCCGAGCGUUAUCCGGAUUUAUUGGGUUUAAAGGGAGCGUAGGUGGAUUGUUAAGUCAGUUGUGAAAGUUUGCGGCUCAACCGUAAAAUUGCAGUUGAAACUGGCAGUCUUGAGUACAGUAGAGGUGGGCGGAAUUCGUGGUGUAGCGGUGAAAUGCUUAGAUAUCACGAAGAACUCCGAGUGCGAAGGCAGUUCACUGGACUGCAACUGACACUGAGGCUCGAAAGUGUGGGUAUCAAACAGGAUUAGAUACCCGAGUAGUC
rnacentral:rRNA from 1 species